UCAAGAUACAGUGAUGAACAAGAGUUAAGGGAUCUGCCUCAAAAAGCCUACAUGCUACUUGGAGGAAAAAGACUAGAUUAACAAGUUAACAAAAUAAAGAAGAUUCAGAUUGUGAUUGGUAAAAUAAGGGAAUUAACAAUGAGACAUGAUAGAAGAUAAACAUUUUCAAUGGAGAUGAUGAAAUCAGUGCAGACAAGGCUGCUUUUAUUUAAAAAGAGGAAUGAAAAGCAUGCUUUUUAAGCUAGUGGAUUGGCAAACAGAGUCAAAGGUUUUCAAAGAUCUGGCUGUUGCCCGACUGAUUUAAAGGUGAAUGGAAUUCCUCUAUGGAGAAAUUCAAUAUCCAAGGAGAAAGGACCCACUGAUAUGGAUUAAGCACAAUGAAAUGUCCCUGUCUCCACCUGUUCAUGACUCUGCAGUCCAGCUAUUGACAAGCAGCAGAAAUGUCCACUGAUGUUCACAGAUUUUUCAGUCAACUUUUUAAUACCUUAUUCUUAAAAAUGGAUAGAUGAUCAAGUUUAAAAGGUAUUUGUGGAAAACAUCUAAUGUAAUAGAUACAAACAAACAAAGUAAAGGGAAAUAAAAAAUAAAAUAAAAAUAGGCAAAGAAUAAUUAAAAAUUAAGAAAUUUUAAAUCCUGAAUUAAUACUCUCUGAAAAAUUUCAACAAACUAUGAGUCUAAUGCUGUGUUUCAAAGCAACAAGAGAGAUAUCUUUGAAAACAUCAUGACAUGAUAAAUUAAAUAAAACAUUAUUAAGAGGCUUAGAAGAUAUAACUGAGGAAAUCUCCCAGAAAAUAGAAUAACUAUGAAAGAAAGAUGGAAAUAGGAAAAAAAAAAAGUAAAUUAGAGCACCAAUCUCAGAGACACAACAUCCAACUGAUACCAGUUCCAGAAAGGAAAAACAGAAAAAAGCUAGGAAGAAAUUAUCAAAGAAAUAAUAUAAGACAAUGUUGCAGUAAUACAAUGUGUGGAUUUCCAGAUAUAAAGAACCCAAUGAAAGCUAAGUACAAUGAGUCAAAAACAUUAUAUCCUUGGAUAUUAUUGUGGAGUGUCAGAACUUUGGGUAUAAAUGGAAUGUGCUAAAAGAAUCUGGGGUGUUGGAAGAAGGAAGACAGUGUCAUCUUUAAAGACUUGAUAGUGAGAAUGGUAUUGGACUUCUCAGUAGCACUACUGGAAACAAAGGAAAGUGAACAAUUCCUUCAAAAUUCUGAAAAAAAUAAUUUUCAAUCUAUAACUGCAUACUAGGCAAAGUAUCAAUUGUGUAUGAAUGUCGAAUUGAAACAUUUUCAAAUCUCUAAUACUACUUAAUUAUAAAAUAGUUGUGAAUUUUUGCAAAAAAUAUUUCAAAAAACUUUGCUUCCCAUUUGACCAUAUUGGGAAGAGUUCUACAAUAUUAUUAGAGAGACAGGAAAUAUUUUAAUUAUAGGUACACAGAAAGCCAAGCAAACCAGCAAACAUCAUAAAUGUGGCAAUUAUCAAGUCUAGGCAAAGCAAAAGUUUGUGUAAAAAUUUACAAAAACUGGGGCACCUGGGUGGCUCAAUGGGUUAAGCAUCUGCCUUUGGCUCAGGUCAUGACUGCAGGGUCCUGCAUGGGACUCCCUGCUCAGUGGGGAGCCUGCUU